rnacentral:snRNA from 1 species
GGAUGUGAGGGCGAUCUGGCUGCGACAUCUGUCACCCCAUUGAUCGCCAGGGUUGAUUCGGCUGAUCUGGCUGGCUAGGCGGGUGUCCCCUUCCUCCCUCACCACUCCAUGUGCGUCCCUCCUGAAGCUGCGCGCUCGGUCGAAGAGGACGACCUUCCCCAAUAGAGGAGGACCGUUCUUCGGUCAAGGGUAUACGAGUAGCUGCGCUCCCCUGCUAGAACCUCCAAACAAGCUCUCAACAGCAUUAGUCCUCAGAUGAAUUAAAAUUAAAGUCACAAAAAGGUAUGAAUAUGUAAUGAGAUGAAUGUUUGCGUCCUCCCAAAUU